GGAGAGUUGCCGGAGUGGUCGAACGGGGCGGUCUCGAAAACCGUUGUUCCGCUUUGCGGAACCAAGGGUUCGAAUCCCUUACUCUCCGCUA
rnacentral:tRNA from 1 species